UUAAAUUGAAGAGUUUGAUCAUGGCUCAGAUUGAACGCUGGCGGCAGGCCUAACACAUGCAAGUCGAACGGUAACAGGAAACAGCUUGCUGUUUCGCUGACGAGUGGCGGACGGGUGAGUAAUGUCUGGGAAACUGCCCGAUGGAGGGGGAUAACUACUGGAAACGGUAGCUAAUACCGCAUAACGUCGCAAGACCAAAGAGGGGGACCUUCGGGCCUCUUGCCAUCGGAUGUGCCCAGAUGGGAUUAGCUAGUAGGUGGGGUAAAGGCUCACCUAGGCGACGAUCCCUAGCUGGUCUGAGAGGAUGACCAGCCACACUGGAACUGAGACACGGUCCAGACUCCUACGGGAGGCAGCAGUGGGGAAUAUUGCACAAUGGGCGCAAGCCUGAUGCAGCCAUGCCGCGUGUAUGAAGAAGGCCUUCGGGUUGUAAAGUACUUUCAGCGGGGAGGAAGGGAGUAAAGUUAAUACCUUUGCUCAUUGACGUUACCCGCAGAAGAAGCACCGGCUAACUCCGUGCCAGCAGCCGCGGUAAUACGGAGGGUGCAAGCGUUAAUCGGAAUUACUGGGCGUAAAGCGCACGCAGGCGGUUUGUUAAGUCAGAUGUGAAAUCCCCGGGCUCAACCUGGGAACUGCAUCUGAUACUGGCAAGCUUGAGUCUCGUAGAGGGGGGUAGAAUUCCAGGUGUAGCGGUGAAAUGCGUAGAGAUCUGGAGGAAUACCGGUGGCGAAGGCGGCCCCCUGGACGAAGACUGACGCUCAGGUGCGAAAGCGUGGGGAGCAAACAGGAUUAGAUACCCUGGUAGUCCACGCCGUAAACGAUGUCGACUUGGAGGUUGUGCCCUUGAGGCGUGGCUUCCGGAGCUAACGCGUUAAGUCGACCGCCUGGGGAGUACGGCCGCAAGGUUAAAACUCAAAUGAAUUGACGGGGGCCCGCACAAGCGGUGGAGCAUGUGGUUUAAUUCGAUGCAACGCGAAGAACCUUACCUGGUCUUGACAUCCACGGAAGUUUUCAGAGAUGAGAAUGUGCCUUCGGGAACCGUGAGACAGGUGCUGCAUGGCUGUCGUCAGCUCGUGUUGUGAAAUGUUGGGUUAAGUCCCGCAACGAGCGCAACCCUUAUCCUUUGUUGCCAGCGGUCCGGCCGGGAACUCAAAGGAGACUGCCAGUGAUAAACUGGAGGAAGGUGGGGAUGACGUCAAGUCAUCAUGGCCCUUACGACCAGGGCUACACACGUGCUACAAUGGCGCAUACAAAGAGAAGCGACCUCGCGAGAGCAAGCGGACCUCAUAAAGUGCGUCGUAGUCCGGAUUGGAGUCUGCAACUCGACUCCAUGAAGUCGGAAUCGCUAGUAAUCGUGGAUCAGAAUGCCACGGUGAAUACGUUCCCGGGCCUUGUACACACCGCCCGUCACACCAUGGGAGUGGGUUGCAAAAGAAGUAGGUAGCUUAACCUUCGGGAGGGCGCUUACCACUUUGUGAUUCAUGACUGGGGUGAAGUCGUAACAAGGUAACCGUAGGGGAACCUGCGGUUGGAUCACCUCCUUACCUUAAAGAAGC
rnacentral:rRNA from 1 species